rnacentral:rRNA from 1 species
UGGGGAAUAUUGCACAAUGGGCGCAAGCCUGAUGCAGCCAUGCCGCGUGUAUGAAGAAGGCCUUCGGGUUGUAAAGUACUUUCAGCGGGGAGGAAGGGAGUAUAGUUAAUACCUUUGCUCAUUGACGUUACCCGCAGAAGAAGCACCGGCUAACUCUGUGCCAGCAGCCGCGGUAAUACGGAGGGUGCAAGCGUUAAUCGGAAUUACUGGGCGUAAAGCGCACGCAGGCGGUUUGUUAAGUCAGAUGUGAAAUCCUCGGGCUCAACCUGGGAACUGCAUCUGAUACUGGCAAGCUUGAGUCUCGUAGAGGGGGGUAGAAUUCCAGGUGUAGCGGUGAAAUGCGUAGAGAUCUGGAGGAAUACCGGUGGCGAAGGCGGGCCCCUGGACGAAGACUGACGCUCAGGUGCGAAAGCGUGGGGAGCAAACAGG